rnacentral:rRNA from 1 species
CCCCUAGAUGUUCUGGGCCGCACGCGCGCUACACUGAACAGUUCAACAAGUCUUAACCUUGGCCGAUAGGUCUGGGUAAUCUUUGAACGCUGUUCGUGAUUGGGAUAGACCUUUGCAAUUAUGGGUCUUCAACGAGGAAUUCCUAGUAAACGCAAGUCAUCAGCUUGCAUUGAUUACGUCCCUGCCCUUUGUACACACCGCCCGUCGCACCUACCGAUUGAAUGGUCCGGUGAAAUCUCGGGACGGCGGCUUGGUCGCUUGCGUCCGACUGCUGAAACUUGAUUAAACCAUAUCAUUCAGAGGAAGGUGAANUCGUANCA